rnacentral:tmRNA from 1 species
GGGGACGACCAGGUUUCGACAGGGGUUGCAAAGCAGUGCAGGGCAUACCGAGGCCUGACUACCUCGUAAAUACAAUCAGAAAUAUAUAACUGCAAACGAUAACUCGUACGCAUUAGCAGCUUAAUUGCUUGCUAACUCUACACCGCUUCUUCCCUAGGGCGGGCUGGUAACAGCAGUAGAGUCAUUCAUAGGGAAUCGUCUUAGGUCGGGUUACUUGGCUCAGGAUUAAAUAAUUGUGCUGUUUUUCAAGUUGACUUGUAUAGGCGAUCGCUCCCCUAAAGCAAAGGGCAGCUUAUCUUCCUCAUCUUCUGGCGCGCGUUGCAGCGCUGGAUCCGGGUUGCGUGAGCGCUCCAUCA